AGAAAGACGAAGACGGAAACAAGUAGCUUUUAUUCAUGCAUUCCAGAGAGUGAUCGGCUGGUGGGAGGUCAUAUGGCAGAUAGUAAGUGAAUACAUUCCUGAGUUGUACACCGAAUGAGACAGAUAUUUAUCAUGUUAAGCGUGAGUAGAUUUUAGAAAUUGCUGAAUGUGAUGGAACAGGUAAGAUUUGUUUUUAGUAGGCUGUGACGGAGCGGCGGCCGUUAUCCGCAGAGGCGUUGUUUGACGCUCAUUUGAGGCAGAGCAUUUACUCUGCGAAAAAAGGUGGUACCACGAAGUUAUAUCUCGUCCUUUUA
rnacentral:ncRNA from 1 species